UGGGGAAUAUUGCGCAAUGGGGGGAACCCUGACGCAGCCAUGCCGCGUGAAUGAAGAAGGCCUUAGGGUUGUAAAGUUCUUUCGGUAUUGAGGAAGGUUGAUGUGUUAAUAGCACAUCAAAUUGACGUUAAAUACAGAAGAAGCACCGGCUAACUCCGUGCCAGCAGCCGCGGUAAUACGGAGGGUGCGAGCGUUAAUCGGAAUAACUGGGCGUAAAGGGCACGCAGGCGGUUAUUUAAGUGAGGUGUGAAAGCCCCGGGCUUAACCUGGGAAUUGCAUUUCAGACUGGGUAACUAGAGUACUUUAGGGAGGGGUAGAAUUCCACGUGUAGCGGUGAAAUGCGUAGAGAUGUGGAGGAAUACCGAAGGCGAAGGCAGCCCCUUGGGAAUGUACUGACGCUCAUGUGCGAAAGCGUGGGGAGCAAACAGGAUUAGAUACCCUGGUAGUCCACGCUGCAAACGCUGUCGAUUUGGGGGUUGGGGUUUAACUCUGGCGCCCGUAGCUAACGUGAUAAAUCGACCGCCUGGGGAGUACGGCCGCAAGGUUA
rnacentral:rRNA from 1 species